rnacentral:rRNA from 1 species
AGAGUUUGAUCCUGGCUCAGAACGAACGCUGGCGGCGUGCUUAACACAUGCAAGUCGAACGCGAAAAGUUUUCUUCGGAAGACGAGUAGAGUGGCGCACGGGUGAGUAACGCGUAAGUUAUCUACCUCGGCAUCUGGAAUAACUCACCGAAAGGUGUGCUAAUACCGGAUACGUUGGGAAAUCAAGAAAGGUGGCCUCUGAAUAUGCUACCGUGCUGAGAUGAGCUUGCGUACCAUUAGCUAGUUGGUAGGGUAAUGGCCUACCAAGGCAACGAUGGUUAGCGGGUCUGAGAGGAUGAUCCGCCACACUGGAACUGAAACACGGACCAGACUCCUACGGGAGGCAGCAGUGAGGAAUAUUGCGCAAUGGGGGCAACCCUGACGCAGCGACGCCGCGUGGAUGAUGAAGGCCUUCGGGUCGUAAAGCACUUUUUCUGAGGGGAUGAGCAAGGACAGUACCUCAGGAAUAAGUCUCGGCUAACUACGUGCCAGCCGCCGCGGUAAUA